ensembl:snRNA U6 U6 spliceosomal RNA
GUGCUUACCUCGGCAGCACAAAUACUAAACUUGGAACAAUGCAAAGAAGAUUAGCAUGGCCCCUGGGCAAGGAGGACAUGCACGUUCGUGAAGCGUUCCCUAUUUUU